rnacentral:rRNA from 1 species
AUGAAAAUCGACACCAAAAAGGGCCUGUUUAGAGACAUGGUGCGCAAAAUUUUCAAUGUUCCUUCUGGGUCAAGGCCAGUGGAGCUGUUGAGGAGGAAUGAGCCACACAUGUUGCGUGAACCCUAUCAAGUAGGGUCAAGGGCUCCAAUGAAGCGGUGUAUUCAAGUGCUCAAGAAUGCAGAUGUUGAUGAUGUUGUUACAAUAAACAGGUCAUGGGUUUUAUUAUGCAUCGCUCUUGUGCUAUCUCCUGGGACUGGCAACAUGGUACCCCUAGAGUAUAUUGCGAGCUUGGUGGACAUGGACAAGAUCGAUGAUUUCGCAUGGGAUGAGCACUUCUUGGCUACUGCGUUGAAGGAGGUUAAGAAGUACCAACGGAAGAGGGAGGAAGGGAGGAGUGGCUUUUGGAUCGGCGGUUGUCUGCCAAUGUUUGCGAUAAUUUAUAUGGACUUUGUUGAUGUGCCUCGGUCGUUGGUUUCUCAGCAUAGGAUUAACUACUCUCUCCCAAGGGCAUGCUUCGUAUGCAACAACGAUUUCAAGUUGGUAGAAGAAAUUGACAAGAACAAGCUCAGCCUCGAUAAGAUUGAAUUUGGAAAACAGAAUGUAAGAGCUCAUUUUUAUUGUAAGCAGAUUCCAGAGCACUUGAUACCAAUAUAUGAGAAGCACAAAAAGUUGCACGCAGUAGAAGUGAAGAAUGUUCUCUUGUCGUUCGGUCAGGUUAUCCAGUCAGUGUUCUGUAAGCGUGUAGCAUCUAUCUUGGUUGAAGCAAACUCCACCACAACAAGCACCAAGGAGCAGAUCUUCGAGGACGUUACAUUUCAUGCUCCAGCAGGCAAUGCAAGCAGUGCAGCCAACGUAGGAGCUGUAGAUCAAACCAGCGUUCCCCCCAAUACUAGCCCUGCUCCACACAUGAGUGUUGUAGCACAACAACCUGGGGAUGACAGGGAAGUUGCAGGUGAUCCCGAUAGCAACCAGAGUGGCAAUUAUCAGGACAUUGGUUUGGAUAAAAGGUAG